rnacentral:rRNA from 1 species
GACGAACCGUCCAAACGUUAUUCGGAAUCACUGGGCUUAAAGGGUGCGUAGGCGGCCGUUCAAGUCGGGUGUGAAAUCCCUCAGCUCAACUGAGGAACUGCGCCCGAUACUGUUCAGCUUGAGGAAGGCAGAGGUGAGCGGAACUUGCGGUGGAGCGGUGAAAUGCGUUGAUAUCGCAAGGAACACCAGUAGCGAAGGCGGCUCACUGGGCCUUUUCUGACGCUGAGGCACGAAAGCUAGGGUAG